CUGAUAUUUAUUGGAUAUAAGACAAAGGGGCAGGGUAAGGAGUGUGAGCCAUCUCCAAUGAUAGGUAAGGUCACAUGGGUCACGUGUCCACUGGACAGGGGGCCCUUCCCUGCCUGGCAGCCGAGGCAGAGAGAGAGAGAAGAGAAAGAGAGAGACAGCUUACAACAUUAUUUCUGCUAUCAGAGACUUUUAGUACUUUCACUAAUUUGCUACUACUAUCUAAAAGGCAGAACCAGGUGUACAGGAUGGAACGUGAAGGCAGACUAAGAGCGUGACCACUGAAGCACAGCAUCACAGGGAGAUGGUUAGGCCUCUGGAUAACUGCGGGCAGGCCUGACAUCAGUCAGGCCGUCCACAAGAGGUGGAGUAGUAGAGUCUUCUCUAAACUCCCCCGGGGAAAGGGAGACUCCCAUUCCCGGUCUGCUAAGUAGCGGGUGUUUUUUGUUGACACUAACACUACCGCUAGACCACAGUCCACUUGGCAACAGGCGUCUUCCCAGAUGCUGGUGUUACCGCUAGACCAAGGAGCCCUCCUGGUGGCCCUGUCCGGGCAUAACAGAAGGCUCGCACUCUUGUCUUCUGGUCACUUCUCACUAUGUCCCCUCAGCUCCUAUCUCUGUAUGGCCUGGUUUUUCCUAGGUUAUGAUUGUAGAGCGAGGAUUAUUAUAAUAUUGGAAUAAAGAAUAAUUGCUACAAACUAAUGAUUAAUGAUAUUCAUAUAUAAUCAUAUCUAAGAUCUAUAUCUAGUAUAACUAUUCUUAUUUUAUAUAUUUUAUUAUACUGGAACAGCUCGUGCCCUGGGUCUCUUGCCUUGGCAGCUGGGUGGCUUGCCGCCCACAAUCCCCCAUGAUCCUCUCCUUUUGAUAUUCAUGUCCUUAUAUUAUCUCCUCCCCUUAAGUGUGGACUAGACUUAUGUCUUUGGUUUUUCACAAACAGUAAUAGAGCAAAAGUGUUGGGAUGUCACAUCUUAAUUCAUAAAACACUGUUUUUGGAUUUGUGCAUUCUCUUGGAUCACUUGUGCUGGGGGAUACAAACUGCCAUUUUCUGAUCAGUGCUAUGGAAAGAAACAGCAAGAAACAGAGGCCCUGAGUCCAGCAGCUUGCGAGGAACUAAAUACGGGCAACACCUAUGUGAAUGAGCAUGGAAGUGGAUCCUUCAGUCCCAGGCCAGUCUUGAGAUGACUCCAGCCUCAGUUAACAGCUUGGCUGAAAUUUUAGGGCGACUUUCAGCCAGAGCCAUCCAGCUAAGAUGCUCCUGGAUUUCUGACCCACAGAAGUUGUUUGUGGUUUUAAGCUUCUCAGUUUUGGGGUAACUUUUUAUACAGCAAUAGGUAGCUAAUACCCUCACUAAACUCAGAUGCCAGAUAUUUAGGGAACAACAUUAAAAUGUCCCAAUGGUCCUUCAAGAAGAUAAUGCACAAUUAGUAGAAGGAAAAGAGAAGCAGAAUUCUUGGGCUGGGUUGGCCAUUUGGCCUGAGGAACUCAGUGAGUGGUUCCACCUGACACAUGCAUAACACAUCAGCGAUUAAACCUUUGGACUUUUUUUUUUUUCAACGUGGAACUCAGGAGUGGCUGGGAUUGAAACUCAGCUUUACCUUUGUAGCCAUAAACUGACCACCUUGUCUCAUCAUCUUGCCUUGGGAGAGAAGAAAACUAUGGUGAAAUCAACAUUUCUCAAGUUGCUAAAGCCUCCUGGCAGGCAGGAGCUAAAUGGUUCUUUUUCCUCUGCCCCACUUUUGGUCUCAAUGGCCGAGUUUCCUGACUCCAAGAAAACCACCUUUGAUUAUAUAAAGGUAUUAGGGGCUGGGGAACACUGGUCUUUUGUUACUAGCAAUCUAAAGCGCUUAGGAAGAAAAGCCCUGGGGGUGGGGGUCACCCCUGGAAAGUUGGGCGGGCUUUGUGUUAGCUCCAACUCUGGGGCUUUUGUGGAACCUCGGAGAGGGAGGAAUUCUUAGAUUUCUGAAAGUUGUGCGAAACGGACCCCAGAGGCCUGGAAAGGCGCGUCCCCAGCCUCCAGGGUUUCCUGCGCAGCCCUGGGCAUCUCGGAAGGGGGCGACCCCAGC
rnacentral:lncRNA from 10 species